rnacentral:rRNA from 1 species
UGGGGAAUAUUGGACAAUGGUCGAAAGCCUGAUCCAGCCAUGCCGCGUGUGUGAAGAAGGUCUUCGGAUUGUAAAGCACUUUAAGUUGGGAGGAAGGGCAGUAAGCGAAUACCUUGCUGUUUUGACGUUACCGACAGAAUAAGCACCGGCUAACUCUGUGCCAGCAGCCGCGGUAAUACAGAGGGUGCAAGCGUUAAUCGGAAUUACUGGGCGUAAAGCGCGCGUAGGUGGUUCGUUAAGUUGAAUGUGAAAGCCCCGGGCUCAACCUGGGAACUGCAUCCAAAACUGGCGAGCUAGAGUAGGGCAGAGGGUGGUGGAAUUUCCUGUGUAGCGGUGAAAUGCGUAGAUAUAGGAAGGAACACCAGUGGCGAAGGCGACCACCUGGGCUCAUACUGACACUGAGGUGCGAAAGCGUGGGGAGCAAACAGG